rnacentral:rRNA from 1 species
GGUCCCGCCUGCCCUGUGACUAUUUGUUUAACGGCCGCGGUAUUUUGACCGUGCGAAGGUAGCGCAAUCACUUGUCUUUUAAAUGGAGACCCGUAUGAAUGGCAUAACGAGGGCUUAACUGUCUCCUCUUUCAAGUCAAUGAAAUUGAUCUUUCCGUGCAGAAGCGGGAAUAUAAACAUAAGACGAGAAGACCCUAUGGAGCUUUAGACACUAUAGCAGCCCACGUUAAGCACCCUGAAUAAAGGACUAAACCAAGUGGGCCCUGUUUUGAUGUCUUUGGUUGGGGCGACCGCGGGGAAUUAAAGAACCCCCAUGUGGAGCGGGAAUACUUUUCCUACAACUAAGAGCUACAGCUCUAGAAAACAGAACUUCUGACCAACAAGAUCCGGCACUGCCGAUCAACGGACCGAGUUACCCUAGGGAUAACAGCGCAAUCCUCUUUUAGAGCCCAUAUCGACAAGGGGGUUUACGACCUCGAUGUUGGAUCAGGACAUCCUAAUGGUGCAGCCGCUAUUAAGGGUUCGUUUGUUCAACGAUUAAAGUCCUACGU